CAGCAGCCGCGGUAAUACGUAGGUGGCAAGCGUUGUCCGGAAUUAUUGGGCGUAAAGGGCUCGCAGGCGGUUUCAUAAGUCUGAUGUGAAAGCCCCCGGCUCAACCGGGGAGGGUCAUUGGAAACUGGGAAACUUGAGUGCAGAAGAGGAGAGUGGAAUUCCACGUGUAGCGGUGAAAUGCGUAGAGAUGUGGAGGAACACCAGUAGCGAAGGCGACUCUCUGGUCUGUAACUGACGCUGAGGAGCGAAAGCGUGGGGAGCGAACAGGAUUAGAUACCCCUGUAGUCCCUGUCUCUUAUAA
rnacentral:rRNA from 1 species